CACCAUGGCUCAGUGGGAAUUGAUACCCACACAGAAACACUGUAUUCUGGCUUGGCAUCAUAACACGCAUAACACGCAAGAUAACAAAUAUUAAGUUCCAUUUUGCCUGAGGGCCAUAGCUGUGGUGACCAAAGUGAGAACUUCUACAUGAGAGAAUAACUUUCAUGGAACCAAAGGACUGCUGGAUCUUUGUAUUUGCUCUUUCUUUCCUACAACCCUGAGCAGCGCACGGCUCUAACCCUGUAAUGAGUGAUUCCCUGAAGAUCACAAAUUUUUAAGGUAAAGAAAUUAAGGCAGAGUAAAGUUUCAUCUCACUUGAUGUCCUCGAUUUCCUUCUCCGUGUUCUUUAUUUGCUUCUCCAAG